rnacentral:rRNA from 1 species
CCUUAGAGUUUGAUCCUGGCUCAGGAUGAACGCUAGCUACAGGCUUAACACAUGCAAGUCGAGGGGCAUCAUGGCGGUCGCUUGCGACCGCUGAUGGCGACCGGCGCACGGGUGCGUAACGCGUAUCGAACCUGCCGCAUACCCGGGGAUAGCCUUGCGAAAGCAAGAUUAAUACCCGAUGUUCUCACUGUUCCGCAUGUUACGGUGAGCAAAGAAUUUCGGUAUGCGAUGGCGAUGCGUCCCAUUAGCUAGUUGGCGGGGUAACGGCCCACCAAGGCUCCGAUGGGUAGGGGUUCUGAGAGGAAGGUCCCCCACACUGGAACUGAGACACGGUCCAGACUCCUACGGGAGGCAGCAGUGAGGAAUAUUGGUCAAUGGACGCAAGUCUGAACCAGCCAAGUAGCGUGCAGGAUGACGGCCCUAUGGGUUGUAAACUGCUUUUAUGCGGGGAUAAACUGAGUCACGUGUGGCUUAUUGCAGGUACCGCAUGAAUAAGGACCGGCUAAUUCCGUGCCAGCAGCCGCGGUAAUACGGAAGGUCCGGGCGUUAUCCGGAUUUAUUGGGUUUAAAGGGAGCGCAGGCCGCCCCUUAAGCGUGUUGUGAAAUGCCGCGGCUCAACCGUGGCACUGCAGCGCGAACUGGGGGGCUUGAGUGCGCCGGAGGUAGGCGGAAUUCGUGGUGUAGCGGUGAAAUGCUUAGAUAUCACGAAGAACUCCGAUUGCGAAGGCAGCCUACCGUAGCGUUACUGACGCUGAGGCUCGAAGGUGCGGGUAUCGAACAGGAUUAGAUACCCUGGUAGUCCACGCCGUAAACGAUGAUUACUAGGUGUCGGGGGGCAGAGGCCCUUCGGUGCCGCAGCAAACGCAAUAAGUAAUCCACCUGGGGAGUACGUCCGCAAGGAUGAAACUCAAAGAAAUUGACGGGGACCCGCACAAGCGGUGGAGCAUGUGGUUUAAUUCGAUGAUACGCGAGGAACCUUACCCGGGCUCAAACGGGGAGUGACUCAGGCAGAGACGCCUGUUUCCCACGGGACACUCCCCGAGGUGCUGCAUGGUUGUCGUCAGCUCGUGCCAUGAGGUGUCGGCUUAAGUGCCAUAACGAGCGCAACCCCCGCGUGCAGUUGCUAACAGAUAACGCUGAGGACUCUGCACGGACUGCCGGCGCAAGCCGCGAGGAAGGCGGGGGUGACGUCAAAUCAGCACGGCCCUUACGUCCGGGGCGACACACGUGUUACAAUGGGUGGUACAGCGGGAAGCCAGGCGGCGACGCCGAGCGGAACCCGAAAUCCACUCUCAGUUCGGAUCGGAGUCUGCAACCCGACUCCGUGAAGCUGGAUUCGCUAGUAAUCGCGCAUCAGCCAUGGCGCGGUGAAUAC